rnacentral:lncRNA from 1 species
AAACAAAGAAAACAAUCAGCCCCUUUUAAAAUAACCCUAGCCCCUUUUUAUUUCCCCAUAAUUUUCUCCUCUCUUGACCGAUUCUCAUCCCCCCAAACCACAAGCUACACAUUCAAGCCUGGAGAAUGAUUUUUCAGCUUUGAAAUCCUCUCUUGGCUUUGAUUCAAACAAAGCAAGAAAGAAAGCUAUGGCGCAUUUGCCAGGUAAGACUUCGCUCUCUCCUUUUUUUAUUUUUGAAAUCAAUGAUGAAAGACAGAAGGAAAUGAAUCGCAAGAAAAUUAAAAGGUAUGGAGAAACUCGUAUUGGAAAUCACCUUUUUAAUUUUUGAUUGCUUUCUUUUUCAAUAUGCAUGUGUAUUGCUGGGAAAAAGGAUCCUAUUUACAUCGUUUACAUUCGGUCUUAUAGCCGAAAAAUAAGUAAAUAAAAAUACAAAAAAUCCUUACUGUAAUCUGUUAUUGUUUGCUGUCAUUUGAUGUUGUGGUUUUCGUUUGUUGCAGGUGUGCAUGGCGUGGAGGAGUUAUUUGCGGAGCAUGGCACGAGUGGAAGAAUCGGCUAAAGGCUGUGGUGGCUGAAGCUUCUAAGGUUUCUGCCGAAAAUUCCCUAGGUGUUUUGGGCUUGGGGUAUUUUGGAUUAUUUAGGCUAUUUGGGUUAAGUUUAAUAAUUUGAGCCCAUUUAUUUUGGUUGCUGGGCUAUGUAAGAAAUGGACAUUGGAUUAUUAUUGUUGUUUUAUUUUAUUUUUGGUUUUAGUUUUGGUGUAGGCCCAAGCACAAAUUGGGUCUUACAAUUAUGAUAUACUAAAUUGAAGAAAAAAGAUAAUUACGUGAAAAAAAUUUAAAAAAUAAAAUUAUAAGUACCUCAAUUAGAAUAUUUGGUUCAAUUUAUUCGACUUUACUCCUUAAAUCAAUUCAGUUUAUAUGAAUAAUUUGUUUUAUUCAAUUUUUGGUAUAAAAAAUCAAACCAACCGAAUACACAAUUCUAUUGUUUGUAACUUUAAAAUUACAUUUAUAAAUAAGAGAUAUGAAAGAUGAAAUUCUCUUGCAAAAUCUAAGACAUGAACAACAAUACUGAUUUUAUCAUGACCAUCUUCAUCAAAAUAAUGGUACAAUAAAAGAACUAAUGGCAAGUCAAUGUCCAAC